UCUCUCUCUCUCUCUCUCUCUCUCUCUCUCUUUCUUUCUAAUAUAUUUACAUAAUUUAGGGUGAUAGCGGUGGCCCUCUUCAAAUACUUAAUGAAGAUUAUAAGUACGUCUUGAUAGGGAUUACUUCAAACGGACUACUAUGUGCUGAUGUUAAUUAUCCAGAUUUUUAUACAGAUGUUACACAAAUGGUUUCAUGGAUAUUGAAAAUUACAAAACACAAUUCUAAAUAUUGCUGGCACUGAUAAAGCUGAAUUAGUAUUUCUAAGUAUAAUCAAAUAAUUAUUAUGUUUAAAAAUUUAUUACAUAGACGC